rnacentral:rRNA from 1 species
CCUACGGGCGGCUGCAGUGGGGAAUUUUGGACAAUGGGGGCAACCCUGAUCCAGCCAUUCCGCGUGAGUGAAGAAGGCCUUCGGGUUGUAAAGCUCUUUUGUCCGGAGCGAAACGGUCGGCCCUAAUACGGUCGUCUACUGACGGUACCGGAAGAAUAAGCACCGGCUAACUACGUGCCAGCAGCCGCGGUAAUACGUAGUUAGCGAGCGUUAAUCGGACUUACUGGGCGUAAUACGUCAGAAGUGGAAUCCCCGGGCUCAACCUGGGAAUGGCAUUUGGGACUGCAAGGCUGGAGUGUGGCAGAGGGGACUAGAAUUCCUGGUGUAGCAGUGAAAUGCGUAGAUAUCAGGAGGAAUACCGAUGGCGAAGGCAGGUCCCUGGGUUAACACUGACGCUCAUGCACGAAAGCGUGGGGAGCAAACAGGAUUAGAUACCCGAGUAGUC